rnacentral:misc_RNA from 1 species
CUGCCUCUAUCAGACCCUCUUCUAUUAAACCCAGACCAACCCCACCACCCUUACUUGGUUGCACAUUUAACCGCUUAUCCUAUAGAUUUCCGCUUCUUUCUGCCGCUGCCAAUAGCAAGAGCGGCGUUUUUUCCAUGUCGAAGGAAACUGGCAGAACAAUAGCUGAUGGGGCUGGAGGCCUCACUUAUAAGGACGCUGGUGUUGAUAUAGAUGCCGGGUCUGAGCUUGUUAGGAGAAUUGCAAAGAUGGCACCUGGGAUUGGAGGAUUUGGGGGCCUUUUCCCUCUUGGUGAUUCAUACCUUGU